GAUUAACGCUGGCGGCGUGCCUAACACAUGCAAGUCGAACGAGGUAGCAAUACCUAGUGGCAGACGGGUGAGUAACGCGUGGUCAACCUACCGUUGAGUGGGGGAUAACUAACCGAAAGGUUAGCUAAUACCGCAUACGUGUUCGGGGGGCAUCCCCUGGAUAUAAAAGGAGCAAUCCGCUCGAUGACGGGACCGCGUCCCAUUAGCUAGUUGGUGGGGUGAAGGCCUACCAAGGCUCCGAUGGGUAGCUGGUUUGAGAGAGCGACCAGCCACACUG
rnacentral:rRNA from 1 species